AGUUUUCUUCGGAAACGAGAUAUUUCUCUACUGGCGGUAACAGUCCGCGAGCGAUCAGCUAAUCCGGUGGAAUUCCGGAGCCAACAGGUUCGGUCUGGAGGGGAGAAGAAGGCU
rfam:Oscillibacter sp. KLE 1745 genomic scaffold Scaffold78, whole genome shotgun sequence.